UCUAGGCUCAGAGGUGGUCAGGAGCUGUGCUGGUCACCAGAAUGUCAAGAUGGGCUGUCCCAUUGAGCCCUGGCCAGGGAGCCACAGGCAUGGCGGGGCAAGCUGGGGGUACCUGCUGAAACUGGCUCCUGCUGUGAGGCUCCACUCUCUCCUGUGCCCUAAUGGUAUGCUCAUCUUGGGGGUGGGAUCCCCAAUGGCAUACUGUGUAGGAGUAUGUCUACCUCAUGGUGAGGCGCAGACUGAGCCUCUGCCCCAGAGAGCCCCCGGACAUACAGGGAUGAACUGGGUGAAGGGAGAGUGAUCGGAAGGGCCCUCUGUGGAGGCACCCACAGCUAAGGUCUGAUAGGUGAGGAGGAGCUGCCCUGCCCAAGGAGGGCGGCCUGGGCCAGAGGGUAAGGAUACAGGAAGGUCCCGCCUGGAGUUUCCCUUCAUGGUACAAAGCUGCUGGAGUAGUUUCUAUGUGAGUUGUUUACACUCCAAAUAAUAAUACUUUGCCUGGCUCAGAAUUCAUAAUGAAUCCAGAAGUGUGUAGAGAAAAUGCUUUGAGAGCCUGUCUUCCUGGAGGGAUGUCAUGCAGCGUAAGCAGAUGGCCACACAUGGACAGGCUUCUCCUCUCUACAUAGACAUGCAAGCUGCACAGCCUGACUUUCCCACGUGGCCCUCCAUGGCACAGGAGACAUGGAGCUGCCUUGUCCUCUUCACAGCUACAUAGCACCUGCUUAGGGUGGCCUAUGGGUCCUGGCAGUUUCUGGGGAAGGUGCACAGGGGUCAUCUUGCUUGUUGCGGGGAACUGUGCAGAUCUUGGGCAGGUUUCUACCCAGGUUGUGGAGGAUUAGGUUUGUCUCUCCCAGGUCCUGUACAACUGGAGAGAUGUAUGGAUGGAUAGGAAGGUAUCACAUUUGCCCAGGGUGGAGAACGCAGUGCCUGGGAACUGAGCUGGUUGUGGGGGACUCAGGCAGAGGAAGCAACUGGCCUUGGGGGCU
rnacentral:lncRNA from 1 species